rnacentral:lncRNA from 1 species
GGAUGAUGAGGGACAUGGAGGCUAUGGGCCUGUCGGGCAGUUUAUACAACACAGACACGUUGAGUGAGGAGCUUGAGGAGAUGCAGGAUGUGUACGGGGACGACCCGGACUUUGCGCAAGCACUCAAAGGUGAGUGGCAUGAGCAGGGAAUUGGAAGGCCUUCGGUUGGAUAUGUGCCAUGUUUGGUACCCUAAUCAUUUUACCGUGGCGCGCAGAAACGGGGAUGGACAGCUACGUCAAACGAACGGCGCCAGUUGAGGAGCCAGCAAGUGGGGACGACGGUACGGCCUCGACGGCCAGCGCUACGGUGGCGAAGCUCCAGGAUACUGCGGCAAAGGCAGCUGGCAGUAUUCUGGAUGGGGCGACGAAGCUUGUAGAGGGGGCGAAAAGCUUUAUGGGAAAACUGCUCGGCAGCAGCAAGCAGGACGGAAAAGGCAGCGAAUUGUGAUAGCCUUUGAGCUGAGUUUAAUUAGAGUAUCCAUAUGGUUAAGUUUGUUGCACCUUCUCUCAAGGACGGCUUAAUGUGACGGUGGUAAUCAAGAAUGUGAUUGCUCCGUAACCACUAUUCG